ACAUCGCCAAGCUACAGUCCCACAUCACCAAGUUAUAGUCCCACUUCUCCGAGCUACAGUCCCACAUCGCCAGUUUAUAGUCCGACCUCUCCAGCAUACAGCCCAACAUCUCCUGCAUACAGCCCGACAUCUCCAUCAUACAGCCCGACAUCGCCAUCAUACAGCCCUACUUCACCUUCAUACAGCCCUACCUCUCCAUCUUACAGCCCUACGUCUCCAUCAUACAGCCCUACGUCUCCUUCAUACAGCCCUACGUCUCCAUCAUACAGCCCGACAUCGCCCUCGUACAGCCCGACAUCGCCUGCAUACAGCCCGACAUCGCCUGGAUACAGCCCAACAUCGCCGAGCUACAGCCCUACUUCGCCAAACUACAGUCCAACUUCACCGAGCUACAAUCCUUCUUCGGCCAAGUACAGCC
rnacentral:lncRNA from 1 species